GGAACUGUGCAGGACUGUGCACUCUGUUGAUACUCACAUGGUGGAAUUAUAUUGCCUUUGGCCAACCCUAAAGCCAUCAAGAUAGCAGGUCUGGUCUACCGAGAAGAGAGAUCAAAGAGCUCUUCAGCUGUUCCCAGCUCCCCACACAAAUCUACCUAACAAAGUCCCGAUAAACAGUCUGUUUUCUGGGAACAGGCAGAGGCAGUUCAGGGGUAUUCUGGUUGCCUUACCCAGCUCUGAAGUCUGUCAGCCUCUUCAGAUGUCACUUGCCAUGUGGUAAGGAAGUGUAGUCAGCAGCUGGUGCAGUGGGAAGAAGAGAAAGGAAGUUCCCCAAGACAAAAACAUCUCGGCAGGAGUGUAGAAGGUUCACUAGGCCGUGAUCAUGGGCUACAUUCUCCGUACCAGCUUCAUAGCUCCAGUGAGAAAAUAAAUUCCUGCAUCCAGGAGAUGUGGAGUAAGAGAUACAGCUGCCCUUGACCAUAUUUCUUACUUCCGAGAAGAUCGUAGCAGUAAUUCAGGACAGUCUUCAGGGAACACCAAGGCCUGUUUGAUUUUCCAAGUAUCAACAAGUGGAGUUGACAAGAGUGACAAGUGGUCAGAGCAAAGCAUUUCAUGAUGACUGUAACGUGCCUGUGUCAGCAGCGACUGCUUACAGUGAGAUUCACAUGACCAUCGUUUAUGACAUAGGAAGAAUAAAAGGAGAGAGAGAGAGAAAGAUAGGUAGUUGAUCAAAAUGAAGAAUUGGAUUUGGAAAGCAACUUCGAAUAGUCUCUGCUUAUAUUUCUGAGAUUAAGGCAAACAGUCUCAAGGAUCUCAUCCAGGAUACCUCAUCACAGGGCUCACUACAGCCUCCAUCUUCUGUGCUUAAGGAUCCUUCCCUCUCAACCUCCAAGGUAGCUGAGACUACAGGCAACAUUCGAAACCCAGGUGCCACUCCUUCAGGAAGGUACCAUCAAGCUCCAAGGACUCAUCCUCUUUCUCCUUCCCCACUACCUAGUCAUUAGAGCGUCAGCAUCCACUUCCUGAAAGGAAGAUGCCUGUUUUUCACAUAUCCCAGAAAGCCUCAUUUUAGGACAGCAUUUAGCAGAGUGUAUUCAGGAUCCCACUAACCUUUUCGGAAGACAUGACUUCCAGAUGAUAUAAGGCUCCAUCAGGAACUGUGCAGGACUGUGCACUCUGUUGAUACUCACAUGGUGGAAUUAUAUUGCCCUUGGCCAACCCUAAAGCCAUCAAGAUAGCAGGUAAAACUACUCUAUCAUUACUGUACCACCACCUGUAUGGAUCUCGUUGCCCAUAUGAAACUGAGUAAGGAACAAUGUGCAUCACACUCACAGAGAAAGAUGGACAAGUUUGGAAUAAUUCACUGUCGAAGUCUUCUUGAGCUGAGCAGUCAUGUGAGCUUGGAAGAUGAUCCCUCUCCAGCUGAUCCUUCAGCUCAGGCCAUCAUCUACAUCUGGAUUCCUGACCCGGAGAAACUAUGAGUAAUGUGUGCUGCUUUUGAGCCACUAAGCUACAUGGAUUAAUGAAGGAUCAUUAUUAAGUUUUUAAUGGGUCAAGAGAAAGUUACCACUGAGGUCUUCUCUACCUGGGCAACAAUUGACUCCUAACAACCACUAUAAGCUUGGAAGAUGAUCCCUCCCCAGCUGAUCCUUCAGGUCACAUGAAGCAUUUGGAAGUAAACACACGAUGGACUGAACACUUUGCUGCUUAGAAACUUCUUCUUCCAGAUUCCCUAGUUCAUCAUUAAGUAGUUAGGCCUCUCACAAAGCCCUUGGUCACGGAUACAGGUCCUUGGAAAAAACUCAACCAAUUGUCAACCAGAAAAUGCUUAAAUUUAUCUAUAGCCUGUAACCCCACCCCCCACUCCCUACCCUGCUUCAAGCUGUCCUGCCUUUCUGGAACAAACCAAUGUAUUCCUUAAACAUAUUGAGAUUCAUGAAUGCAUUUGCAAAAUUUCAAAUAAAGGCUUCCAGUUGGUCGAAUGCAUGGAUGUGGAACCUGUAGAUAUGAAGGACCAACUGUACCACAAACUGUAUGGUAUAACCAACAUAAAUUGAUUCUUUUACAAUUCUGGAGGAUAAAAGUCUGAAAAUCAAUAUGUUGGCAGGGUCUUGUUCUCCUGGCAAGAUUGAAAUUGGAAUACUGAGUAUUAAGAAGUAAUUGAAAAAUUGUGAAAGCUAAAUGAUACAUACCAGGUACAUAGGAAUGUGUAGCACCUGAAGAUGAUUCUAUAGGCAAGCCUUCUGGAAAAAUCAAGCUGAAGAAAUCUUAAUUGCCCAAUGUCCCUUAUCUGUUUCAAUAAGUAUAAUUAUAUAAUAUCAGAAUUCUUCUGAGUGACAGAGAAAGGCAGCCUGGCUGAACAUCCCCAUGGCCAUAAUGCAGAUAUGAUGGUCUCCAGCUAUUU
rnacentral:lncRNA from 10 species